rnacentral:rRNA from 1 species
UACGGAGGGUGCAAGCGUUGUUCGGAUUUACUGGGCGUAAAGGGCGCGUAGGCGGUCUUAUAAGUCAGAUGUGAAAGCCCACGGCUCAACCGUGGAAGUGCAUCUGAAACUGUGAGACCUGAGUAUGGGAGAGGAAAGUGGAAUUCCCGGUGUAGAGGUGAAAUUCGUAGAUAUCGGGAGGAAUACCGGCGGCGAAGGCGACUUUCUGGACCAAUACUGACGCUGAGGCGCGAAAGCGUGGGUAGCAAACAGG